UAUCGUGCGUGGCUUCUUCUUCUUAAAACUCCCUAACCACGAGGUUCUGAAUAGGGUUUAUGAAUUCAGAACUCCAACGGCAUCCAUAGCUUCAUCCAAUGGCUACUGCAUUUCUUGUCCGAAGAACUUCGACGAAAUUCCUCUUCCAACCUCGCUUCCAUUCUUCUUCCUCUUCUUCAGCUUCUCCAUUUCUUCCAAACCUCUGUUCUUCUCUUUUCCGAGAUUCCAAUUUCUCUAAUCAUGCAAUCUCUGUCCCUUCAUACUCCAGAAGUUUCGUCUCAGCUCCUGAAAGUUCUCUUGCUACUGCUCUCGGCACUGAUACUCGUGUUCCCGCCACUGUGAUUACUGGCUUUCUCGGCUCUGGAAAGACGACUCUCCUCAAUCAUAUUUUGACAUCUCAACAUGGCAAGCGGAUUGCUGUCAUUGAAAAUGAGUUUGGUGAGGUGGAUAUUGAUGGAUCAUUGGUUGCCAGUCACUCCUCCGUAGCUGAAGACAUUGUUAUGGUUAAUAAUGGAUGCCUUUGCUGCACUGUGCGAGGUGAUCUGGUUAAGAUGCUCUUGGAGCUGGCCAAGAAUAAACGAGACAAGUUUGAUCAUAUUGUUAUUGAAACCACAGGCCUUGCUAAGCCAGCUCCUGUUAUAGAAACGUUUUGUACAGAUGAGCUGGUUUCACGUUAUGUCAAAUUAGAUGGAGUUGUAACUUUAGUUGACUCCAAGCAUGCCAUGCAACACUUGAAUGAAGUGAAACCAAGAUUUGUAGUGAAUGAGGCUGUAGAACAAGUCGCUUAUGCUGAUCGGAUUAUAAUAAACAAGAUUGAUCUUGUAAGUCCAGAUGAAUUGGAGGAACUGACACUGAAGAUUAAGCGAAUAAAUGCGAUGGCCCAAGUCAAGCUUGCUAAGUUUGGAGAUGUUGAUGUCGACUUCGUAUUAGGAGUGGGUGGAUAUGAUCUUGACAGAAUUGAUUCUCAAGUUGAAGCUAACACCCACAAACAUGAAACUGAACAUGAGCACAAGGGACAUGAUCAUCACCAUCAUCACCAUGACCAUGUACAUGACUCUGCUGUGUCUAGUGUUAGUAUUGUUUCUGAGGGAUUACUUGACCUUGAUGAGGUUGACGAUUGGCUUGAACGAUUGAUCGAGGAGAAAGGAGAGGACUUGUAUAGAAUGAAAGGAGUGUUGAGUGUAAAGGGUUAUGAGCAGCGUUAUGUCUUUCAGGGAGUGCACUCUAUCUUGGAUGGCUGCCCAGGCAAAGAAUGGGGCCCUGAUGAAAAGAGGGUAAACAAGUUGGUAUUCAUAGGAAAGAAUUUGGACGAAACUGCCCUUAGAAAAGGCUUUAAAGGUUGUUUUAUGUGAGACGAAGCUGGCACACCAUCAGGUUCUAAUUUGGAUUUCGCACCGGAAGUUUCAUUUCAGUUUCGAUUCUAGUUCAAUGAUCGGGUUUAUGGCGUUUAGAAAUCUCGGCGAGUUCGAGUAAUCACGAGAGUAGAAAUGACUCGACUGAUUUCGACGUUCUGUUUCCUCGCGAUUAGCCUGAUCUUCUUGAUCAAGUAUGGUUUCGAUCACUUCUGUUUCUCUUUUUUACUUCUCGGAGCCGAUUUCUUUACUGUCACUUCAAUGCUGUGUAUGUCUCUUGUGUCAUUUUAGCAGGUAGCUUCUUCAAUUAACUUCGCUUAGCCUUUUUCAUGUUUUUGUUUCACAUUGCAUUUAGCUUUGAUAAGUACUGUCAUGUUCGGAUUUCGUCUGUCAAACAAACUACAGGCGAAGAAAGCAACUGAAGCGGCGUUAAGCGAUAACGAACAGUUGAUCGUAAGUUUUGAGAACAUUUUGAUUUCUUUGGAAGGGGAGAAGCCUUUAUAGAUUCAUAAAACAGUGUGAAAUGAAGUUUCUGAUCAAAGCAAUUCUGCUUUAGGAGAAUUUCCAACUGUUGGACUUGAAUCAGAUCCAGAUCAUAUAACCUCAUGCAUCAGGUGAUGGUGAAGGAGGAAUUGAAGUGACUGAAAGUAUGCAAUUGAUUCGCUAAUUUUGUGAGACUGCUUCAUUGAUCCACUGAAAGCCACUCGGACCACAGUGAAAGACUAUCCACCAUUUUUCUCCCCAAAGCUAGCGGCUGUUAUGAAGAAUCUCUUCCCUAAGAUGGAAAACUGUAUGUAACAUUCACAGCUUCAAGGGACAAGGAGGAGUUCUUUUCAGGCUUUUUCCAGUUUAUAGCUUUAAAAUCCUGCCAUUGCGAUGCUUCCGUAAUAACAAACAUUCAAAUUUUCUGUUCAUGUAGGUGUUGCCCGGGUCAUUGGAAAGCCCUUACAAAUGUGAGGCUCAAGGGAGUCGCUUUCAAUUUCUUCCAUCAUCUUCGGCGUACAUCUAGCUAGUUGGUAGAUAUUAUUGUUGAUUCGAAUCCACUGUUCACCGGCGUCAUUGCCUCCUUUUCUGGUAAAUAUUACAUACUUUUUCUGUCACUCAAUCAACACCAAAACUCACAGCUCAUUUCAUCUGCCUAUUUUCCAAAGUUAAAACAAAUCUAUUAAAGGCUAACAAGCACUUAAUCAUUCAAAAACUUAAAAACAAAACAAAAUAAUAAUGAAAUAAGAAAAUAUUACUAGGUGGAACUUCUAGUUACAGGAAAUACCAAAAAUGCUUGAAGAGUGGUACUGAGAAAACAACACCAUUUAUACACUAAAAUAGAAAGAGUUAUCUUCUUUUAUUUUCUUUUAUUUUUUCUCUUUUUAGCCUAAGGCACAUCCCCAGGAGGGCAGAAUUGAACAUGAAAUGACCUAUAAAAAAAUAUCUCAGAAGUAAAAAGGAGGAAAGAAAAAAAUGGUAUUGAUUCAUGGUAAAUCCACUCCAAAAGGCCACUAGGUAGGGAUGGUAAUCCAGACCACUGAUGUUGCUAUAAACCAGAAAGGUUAGGACAAAGCAGUUGUCAUAUUUCCUUUUUAACUUUCCUUUGUUUUCUUUUUCUCUUUCAAAUAUAUGGAUUUUGGAACAACGCUAUAUAUGUGGAGCUUCUGGGGCAAGAUAAGAAUGCAAUUUGGGUAUUGAGAAGAAAAGUAC